rnacentral:rRNA from 1 species
AGCAGCCGCGGUAAUUCCAGCUCCAAUAGCGUAUAUUAAAGUUGUUGCAGUUAAAAAGCUCGUAGUUGAAUUUCGGGAUCAAUAUGUUGGUCGUGCCUUGGUACGUACUGGCAUUAUCGAUUCCUACCUUCUGAAGAACCUCGAUGUCAUUAAUUUGGUGUCUUGGGGAAUCAGGACUGUUACUUUGAAAAAAUUAGAGUGUUUAAAGCAGGCUCGCGCUUGAAUACAUUAGCAUGGAAUAAUGAAAUAGGACGUUUGAUUCUAUUUUGUUGGUUUCUAGGAUUGACGUAAUGAUUAAUAGGGAUAGUUGGGGGCAUUAGUAUUCAAUUGUCAGAGGUGAAAUUCUUGGAUUUAUUGAAGACUAACUACUGCGAAAGCAUUUGCCAAGGAUGUUUUCAUUAAUCAAGAACGAAAGUUAGGGGAUCGAAGACGAUCAGAUACCGUCGUAGUCUUAACCAUAAACUAUGCCGACUAGGGAUCGGAUGAUGUUAAUUUUUUAAUGACUCAUUCGGCGCCUUAC